rnacentral:rRNA from 1 species
GACGAACGCUGGCGGCGUGCUUAACACAUGCAAGUCGAACGAAGUGGCGAACGGGUGAGUAACGCGUAAUUAACCUGCCCAUCAGAGGGGGACAACAGUUGGAAACGACUGCUAAUACCGCAUACUGAAGGAGGGGUUUGCGUCUGAUUAGCUAGUUGGAGGGGUAACGGCCCACCAAGGGGAUGAUCCGUAGCCGGGCUGAGAGGAUGAACGGCCACAUUGGGACUGAGACACGGUCCAAGCUCCUACGGGAGGCGGCAGUAGGGAAGAUUGCGCAAGGGGGGAAACCCUGACGCAGCAACGCCGCGUGGAGGAUGACACUUUUCGGAGCGUAAACUCCUUUUGUUAGGGAAGCGGUACCUGACGAAUAAGCACCGGCUAACUCCGUGCCAGCAGCCGCGGUAAUAC